GCUCCGUUGGUGAGCCAGCGGAGGGAUCAUUAAAGAGUUCUAUAACUCCCAAACCCAUGUGAACAUACCUUACGUUGCCUCGGCAGGUCGUGCCUACCCCGCAGCGCCCUACCCUGUAGGACCUACCCGAUAGACGCGGGUAAGCCUGCCGGCGGCCCACGAAACUCUGUUUAGUAUUGAAUUCUGAACCUAUAACCAAAUAAGUUAAAACUUUCAACAACGGAUCUCUUGGUUCUG
rnacentral:misc_RNA from 1 species